AUUGAACGCUGGCGGAAUGCUUUACACAUGCAAGUCGAGCGGCAGCGCGGGGCAACCUGGCGGCGAGCGGCGAGCGGGUGAGUAUACAUCGGAACGUACCCUGUCGUGGGGGAUAACGAGUCGAAAGAUUCGCUAAUACCGCAUACGACCUGAGGGUGAAAGCGGGGGAUCGCAAGACCUCGCGCGACAGGAGCGGCCGAUGGCGGAUUAGGUAUUUGGGGAGGUGAAGGCUCACCAAGGCGACGAUCCGUAGCGGGUCUGAGAGGACGACCCGCCACACUGGAACUGAGACACGGUCCAGACUCCUACGGGAGGCAGCAGUGGGGAAUUUUGGACAAUGGGGGCAACCCUGAUCCAGCCAUUCCGCGUGAGUGAAGAAGGCCUUCGGGUUGUAAAGCUCUUUCGGCAGGAACGAAACGGUGGUCCCUAAUAUGGACUGCUAAUGACGGUACCAGAAGAAGAAGCACCGGCUAACUACGUGCCAGCCGCCGCCGUAA
rnacentral:rRNA from 1 species